rnacentral:lncRNA from 1 species
AUGUUUAUAAUACAGUCAGGAAAAAGCCAGAACCGGGGCUUUUCUGUGUUGUACCCCAAACAAAGCAGUGGCUCCAAUCAACUGGGCCACUUCCCUUUUUCCAGCAGAGCUAAGAGCGGGCCCCCAGCUGGUCCUGAGAUCAGCACAAACCCCCAGGACCUCACACUCACUAACCCAGGGCCUCCACGAGCCACACUGUCCUCAGCCCAGGCUCUCAGAAAUGGGGUCACAGCAAACGCCCGCGGCAGCCCCGCAGGAACCGCCUGCCCUCCGUCCCUCCCAGACACCACGAGCCAGGCCCUGCCUGUCCCCGCAGGGCCCAGCUGGCUGGCAAACAAACAGAUUUGGGCUGCCAACUGGUCACUGCCAGCUUAUGAAACUGCCCCACUUCACGUAGGAAUGGCUCCGUCCACCUCACGGGGUCACAGAAUGGCCGAGGUGGGAAGGGGUCUGGGGAUCACCUGGGCCAGCCCCCUGCCCAGCAGGGUCACCCCGAGCACACUGCACAGGAUGGCAGCCAGGCAGGGUUCGGAUAUCUCCAGAGGAGACUCCACAACCUCUCUGGGCAGCCUGUCCCAGGGCUGUCACCUCACAGCACGGAGGUGCCCCUCAUACCGAGCCAGAACCUCCUGGGCUUCCGUCUGUGCCCGCUGCCUCUCGUCCCGUCACUGGGCACAGCCGCAGAGCCCAGCUCCAUCCUGCCGACACCUCCCCUCAGCCAUUUAUCCCCACGGACGGGUCUCCCCUCAGCCUCUCCUCCGGGCUGAGCAGCCCCAGCUCUCUCGGCCUGUCCCAGGGGUGCCCCAAGCCCCAGUCCCCUCAGCUCCCUCCUCAGGACUCGCUCCGUGUCCCUCAUGUUCCGGGGAGCCCAGCACUGGGCACAGCGCCCCAGGUGGACAUGGAGGUGCUCAAGAGAGUCCAGAGAAGGGCAACAAAGCUGGUGAGGGGUCUGGAGAACAAGUCCUACAAGGAGUGACUGAGGGAGCUGGGGGUGUUCAGCCUGGAGAAGAGGCUCAGGGGCGACCUUAUUGCUCUUUACAGCUACCUUAA